CCUUGAGUUAAUUGUGUUUAUAGUUGGAUGUUAUUUCAACUGUCCAGUAGAGGGCAGUAUAUUCUUGUGAAUCUAAGUUGCAGCAGCCUCAUUUCACAUUGUAGAAGACAAAAUGGCUGAACCGCAUGGAGGGUUAAGAUGUUAUGUCCUUGGUUCCUGCAUUUUGCCUAAAUUUCCUGGUGAUACAUGAAGUAGUUUCAGUCAGUUUGUGUCAAUGAAGAAAUGUGAGUAUUUCAGUUGUUAAAUCUAGACCUAAAAUUACUUAUGGCACUUGUAAUUAGAUGUUUAAGUUUAUCAAUAUGAUAAGUUGUUUGACCAGCUACUUAAGCACUAAUGGUAUGGACUUUUGAGUUAAUUCUGUUUAAUGGACCAGUCAUGCUGAAGCUGUUGAUUGGUGUAUUAUACUUACCGUAUUUGUUAUCUUAAAUGUGCUCUGUUGCAGUUACUAAUAAUUCAUUUAUUGUGUUUUGUUUAGAACACUCAAACCUACUUGUACCUACCUUCUGUCGAAGUUUAACCCUGUAUGCCAUACCGUGCUGUUGUUAUUAAUACCUUGAAAGGAAGUAAAUUACCUCAAUUUGAUACUGUCUCCCUGAGUCUUGAUCGAUAUCCUGUAGCGAAUACAUUCACUGAACACAUAAAUAGGGAACAGUCCUGAUGCUUCUGAACAUGGUCCUUCGAGCCGGAUGUGAUUUACUUACAGUGACAGUAUGGUUGAUAAGCAGCAAAGAGAAGCUACACCAGAGUCUGUGCGGCCAAAACGCCAUACACAUCCUCCUACCUACUUUGAUGAUUUCCUGGUGGACUAUGGGCCUUAUCGGCCAAGAAGUGAGCGUCCACACUUAAGUACAGCACGGUAUGAGCAUAAUCAAGAACAGGAACCUGACAUCCAUAAAGAGAGUGCAUCACGGCUGGCAGCUCAAGCUGUAAGCAGAGAACCAACGCCAUUAUCAAGUCCAGCAUCAUUGGGUGGCCAAGAUUUUACUGCUUUACCUGAAAUGAUUAAGGAUCAGAUAAGAGAAAGACCAUCUGACUCUGUUCCAUAUCGAAUUCCAGUACCUCCAAGCCGACCAAGCAUAGCACCUCCAUAUCAGCUUCAGUAUCGGCCUGCAUCAUUUAAUUUACCUACCUCUUCUACUCCCUGUCAUCAGCAGCCAGUUGGGGCUAUGUCAGGUCCAGACAGUGGACAGAAAGGCAGAUUAUGUACUAGUGCUCCUCCUACCUUAUACAAUGUGUCGAUACCCUCUGGCUCUCAUACUACUCCAUCGUAUGUGGUCUCGUCACCACAGUAUUACUCCACCAGUAGAGUUUCUCAGCAUCUGAUUGGGGGAGUUAGAGAAGAGAGAGUGUGCCAGCCUGGAGCACAAAGUGCUAAUGAUAUGAUGUUAAUGCUUGAUAAGAUGAUGUAUCAGUUACAGAUGAUGAGACAUGAGGUUGCUUCUAAGCCUGCAACUCCUAGUGGUCACAUGCCCAGCCAUCAGCCCCCUUAUAGUGAACCACCUUCUAUGGCCUAUGAAUACUUUGGACCACAGCAAAAUUCAAGAGAAGAGCAGUAUGCUACUGACAAGCCUUAUGGACUAUCGGACAGAUUUCAUAGUGUCACUGAGCCUGUACCUUUCUAUCCAAUGUCACAGCCUCUACAGAGAGCAGAGCCUGAUUGGCUGGAUGGUCCUUACCAUCCGUACAAAGAAUCAGCUACAGAAUACAGAGGCCCAAAGCCCAAUAUACCUCACCUAGUACAUAGAGACCCAUCUCAGUUUGCUCGUUUGAAGCUCGCUCUGCAGAAUCUACUGCCUCAGGAUGGAUCAGAGAUGUUCAAGUAUCAAAUCUUGGUGGACCAUUUGCAGCUUGAGGAAGCUAAGUUGAUUGCAGAUUCAUUUCUUAACUCCUUAUAUCCCUAUACCGAUACCAUGGCAGCACUUACUGAGAAAUUCGGUAAGCCCCAUCAACUCGCAUUAAGUAAGAUCGCCAGUGUCAUGGAUGCACCAAAUGUACGACCAGGGGACCCUGCAUCCUUUGAAAGGUUUGCAUUACAAAUUCAAGCCCUUGUAGGGUUACUGAAAUCUUUAGGCCAAUCUGGGGAUGCUGAACUGAGAUGCAGCUCCCAUGUAGUACGUUUGCUGACCAAACUGCCAUCUGAUUUAAGAGCUGCUUUCAGAAGACAAAUGCUACAUAGGCCGGACGCAGACUUUACCCUAGUGGAGUUCUCAAGAUGGUUGCAAGCUGAAGUAUGGUGCCAUAGCAGUGAUAUAAUAGGGGAUGUUCAGUCAAGAGGAUGGCCAAAACAAAGAAUGGAGAAACGGAGAGAUCCAAAUGUAAGGCCAGCUACUGUUUUGCAUGGAGUAGGCAGUGCCUCCACAAGUACCACUGUACCUCCAUUUAAACCUGUUAUGAGUACAGAGAACCCAGGGAAAGCCAAAGCCUACUGUCCCUACUGUGAGAACACAGAUCAUUUCCUCAGUCAGUGCCCUAAUUUUCAGCAGCUUACAACUGAACAAGUCAAACAGUGGAUUCAAACGAAUAAGCGCUGUUGGAAAUGUGGAAGGUCCCAUUUGGCUGCUCAGUGCAAUCUUAAAAAACCCUGCAACAAAUGUAGAGGCAAACAUCUGCUAAUACUCCAUGACAUAAAUUAUAAACCAAAUCAGGAUACCGCAGCGAUUCCAAGCUCCACAGCCGGAACCCUGUACUUAGACAGACCUGGAACAGAUAGCCGUGUUCUGCUAAAGGUAGUCAAGGUUCUGCUGAGACAUAAGAACUACACACUGGAUACCUAUGCAGUACUUGAUGAUGGGUCCGAGCGGAGUAUCCUGUUGUUCGCUGCUGCUGAGAAAUUGAAUCUAAAAGGCAAAGAGGAGGAGUUGUCCAUCCGGACUAUACAUCAAAAUGUCUCAGUACUACAAGGUUCAACGGUGUCCUUCAGUAUAUCACCAGCGACACAGCCUCACAAAACCUACCACAUAAAGCAUGCCUUCACAGCAAAGCAGCUAGGGCUAGCACCCCAGUCAUAUCCUAUGGAGGCUCUUGUCACCAAAUAUAAACAUCUUAAAGGUCUUCCUAUCCAGCCCUUCGACAAGAUUCACCCUCUCUUGCUGAUUGGUGCUGACCAGCCUCAUUUAAUCACCCCAGUUGAGCCAGUCUGCCUGGGACCUCCUGGAGGACCAGCUGCCAUUAAGACAAGACUGGGUUGGACUCUCCAGGGCCCAGCUAAACUUCUGCUAAACCCUCUUGACCCUCAACAGACCCUUUUCACUUCAGUGACAUCCCAGCAGGCAGAGCUAAUGAGGAAUGUUUCAAAGUUAUGGGAGCUGGACACUCUCCUUUACCGCAGUGAGAAACAAGUCACUCGCUCUAGAGAGGAUAAAGAGGCUCUUGACCUUUUGGAUAAAGAGACUACCAGGGUUUCCCUAAAUGGUGUUCAGCGGUAUGCCACCCCCCUACUUCGGAGAUCUGAUAUGGCUCUUCUUAAUGCCCCCAAAGAAGCAGUAAUGCCACACCUGAGGAAAACAGAGAAGUACCUCUCAAGAGAUCCUGAACGCUCAGCUGCUUACUCUGCUGAAAUCAAGAAACUGGUCAAUGAGGGGUAUGUGGCUAAGCUGAACUCAGACAAUGCAACACAGAGCAGAGAAAGCUGGUUUAUUCCCCAUCAUAUGGUCACACAUAAUGAUAAACAUCGACUGGUUUUCAAUUGCUCAUUUCAAUACAAAGGAAUGAACCUGAAUGAAGCACUGUUACCUGGGCCCACAUUAAGCGCAUCUCUCCUGGGAGUUUUGAUAAGAUUCAGGGAACAUUCAGUGGCUGUGAGUGGGGACAUUAAAGGAAUGUUCCAUCAAGUCCGCCUGUUGGAGCAUGACAAGCCUAUCCUUCGAUUCAUAUGGAGAGAUAUGGAACGAAACAGAGAAGUUGAUGUCUAUGAGUGGCAGGUGCUCCCCUUUGGGACCACCUGCAGCCCCUGUUGCGCCUCUUAUGCAUUACAGAAACAUGUCCUUGACAGUACAGAGCAGGGUGAUCCUUUACAAUUCACUAUACAAAAGAGUUUCUAUGUUGACAACUGCCUCCAGAGUAUGGCCACAGUUGGGGAGGCAGAAAGCUUUGUUGAUCAUCUUAGGAAGCUGCUAGCUAAGGGUGGAUUUGAAAUUCGCCAAUGGGCAUCAAACCAAAGUAGUGUAGUUAGUCAGCUACCAAAGGAAGCUCAGUCAACUAGUACUGAACUUUGGCUAUCCAAUAAAGAAACAACAGUCUCUGAAUCCACUUUAGGUUUGCACUGGCAUUGCCCCACUGAUACGAUCAGGUACAAGCACCGCCCUUUGGAGUACAAAUUGCCCACCAUGCGCAAUUUAUACAGAAUCCUGGCUAGCCAAUAUGAUCCUUUAGGAUUCAUCCUUCCAUAUACAACUAGAGCAAAGAUCCUAGUUCAGGAAUUGUGGGCUAAACCUAGGGAAUGGGAUGAUCCCCUGCUACCGGGCGAGCUCCUGCAGAAAUGGCUUCAAUGGGAGGAUGAACUUCAAUACCUGUCCGGUAUUACCCUCCCCAGAUGUUAUGUGACUCCAGACAUGGAUAAUGAUUCUGUCACAAGAGAAAUCCAUGUGUUCUGUGACGCGUCAGAACGAGCCUAUGGUGCAGUCUCAUAUCUAAGAACACAAGACAGCCGAGGGAAUGUACAGCUGGCCUUCCUAAUGGCUCGAUCUAGGGUAGCACCUAAAAAACAAUUGUCAGUUCCCCGCCUCGAACUGUGUGCAGCGCUCUGUGGAGCUCAGUUGGCCGUACUCCUGAAAAGGGAACUUACCCUAGGUUAUAGCAAACUCACCUUGUGGUCUGAUUCCACCACCGUGCUGAACUGGUUACACUCCGACUCCUGUCGAUUCAAAGUCUUUGUGGGCACACGGAUUGCUGAAAUACAAGAGACAACAGAUCCACAGGAUUGGCAGUAUGUAGACUCGGCUCAAAAUCCUGCUGAUGACCUAACAAGGGGUAAACCACUUGCAGAACUAGCGAAACCAAACAGAUGGAGUAAAGGUCCCUCCUUUCUAUUACUGCAGCCUGACAGAUGGCCUGAGAAUCCUGCUUGUAGAUCCUCAAAUGGGGAAUCAGAGUUGAGGAAGUCUGUGUUUUGUGCCCUCAAUGUCGUGAAUCCUAAUCCUUCCAUUCCUGAUGCCAGUCAGUUUUCAACCUAUACUGAAUUACUAGAAGCUACUGCUAAUUCACUACAUGAUCCACAAAGUGGGAAAAAAUUGUCAGCUGAUGAUUUCAUACAAGCAGAAAAACUCCAGUGGAAGGAAUCUCAACUCCAUAGUUUCCCUGAGGAAUUUCUGUGUCUACAACAGGGUAAACCUCUUCCUCAUAGCAGUAGACUAGUCAGCCUGAGUCCAGAACUAGAUAAGGACAUGGAUGUUAUAAGAGUGGGAGGAAGACUUCGGAAAGCUGAAGCUUUGGAUGCAGCAGCUAAGCACCCAAUUUUACUUGAUCCCAGCAAUGCCCUUACCAAACUUAUCAUUCAGGACUAUGACCAUCAGUUGAAACAUCCCGGUUCAGAACGAGUGCUAGCUGAAAUCAGGAGGAAAUUCUGGAUUCUUCGAGGACGAGAAGCCAUACGGCAUCACCAAUUCAAAUGCACAGAUUGUCGCAGAUGGAGAGCCAAACCUGAAACGCCACAGAUGUCAGAUUUACCAAUAGCUCGACUUCAACUGUUCAAACCUGCCUUUCACUCUACGGGAAUGGAUUGUUUUGGGCCAUUUUCGGUCAAGAUUGGAAGGAGAGUAGAGAAACGAUGGGGAAUCAUUUGGAAAUGUUUAACCACUCGAUCUGUUCACCUAGACAUCCUAUCCAAUAUUGACACAGUUUCUUUCCUUAUGGCACUUAGGAGAUUUGUAGCUCGCCGAGGAACGCCGUUUGAACUGUGGUCCGAUCAAGGGACCAAUUUCAAAGGAGGAGAGCGGGAGUUGUAUGAUGCUUUCAAGCAGAUGUCAUCUGAGCUCCAACAAAACCUGGCUAAGCAGAAAAUCCACUUCCAUUUCAACCCCCCUGGUGCUCCUCAUUUCGGAGGAGCAUGGGAACGGGAAAUCAGAUCUGUAAAAUCAGCUCUGUAUGCCUCUGUUGGUGCUCAGUCUGUAACGGAAGAGGUCCUCAGAACUGUAUUAGUCGAAGUCGAGGGAAUACUUAAUUCCAAACCUCUUAGCUAUGUUUCCUCUGAUGUUUCGGACAUCGAUCCUGUCACCCCAAAUAAUCUUCUUAUGGGGCGGCCGGAUGGCUCACUCCCACAAGUUGUAUAUCCUCAGAGUGAAAUGAUCAGUCGGAAACGAUGGCGUCAAAGCCAGGUCCUCACCGACUUGUUCUGGUCCUCAUUCCUAAGAUACUACUUGCCUAAUUUACAAACCCGUGCUAAAUGGCAAGAUAAAGUGGAGAACAUAGCUGUUGGCAACGUUGUUAUGCUGGUGGAUCAACAGUUACCUAGGGCCCUUUGGAUGAUUGGAAAGGUCACUAAAGUCAUGCCAAGUGCAGAUGGGCAGAUCAGAACUGCAGAAAUACUAAUCAAAGAUCGAUCAUAUAUUCGACCUGUUGCCAGAAUGAUUGUACUGCCUUCGAUUCCUGAUGAUACAGUCACUUCUUAAUAACAGGCCUUUUCAGGUACAAAUUUAGUGCCUAAAUAUGGGGGCGGCUGUAUUAAAGGCCUUGAGUUAAUUGUGUAUAUAGUUGGAUGUUAUUUCAACUGUCCAGUAGAGGGCAGUAUAUUCUUGUGAAUCUAAGUUGCAGCAGCCUCAUUUCACAUUGUAGAAGACAAAAUGGCUGAACCGCAUGGAGGGUUAAGAUGUUAUGUCCUUGGUUCCUGCAUUUUGCCUAAAUUUCCUGGUGAUACAUGAAGUAGUUUCAGUCAGUUUGUGUCAAUGAAGAAAUAACACUCAAACCUACUUGUACCUACCUUCUGUCGAAGUUUAACCCUGUAUGCCAUACCGUGCUGUUGUUAUUAAUACCUUGAAAGGAAGUAAAUUACCUCAAUUUGA